rnacentral:rRNA from 1 species
UACAGAGGUCUCAAGCGUUGUUCGGAUUCAUUGGGCGUAAAGGGUGCGCAGGCGGCGGGGCAAGUCGGACGUGAAAUCCCGGGGCUUAACCCCGGAACUGCGUUCGAUACUGCCUUGCUCGAGGACUGGAGAGGAGACUGGAAUUCCUGGUGUAGCAGUGAAAUGCGUAGAUAUCAGGAGGAACGCCAAUGGCGAAGGCAGCUCGCUGGGACGUUACUGACGCUGAGACGCGAAAGCGUGGGGAGCAAACAGG